UCAAAGAAGAACAGUCGCAACGAGUCAUCUCUCAUUUCCAAUAGCUCCGGCGAGUCGCGCGAAGCGGCAGGCUCCGAGCAGCUGCUGCCUCCUCCGUUCCCCUCUCCUCUCCCCUUUUCGACUAACGAACUCGGCGCAGCCGCACCCCUCUCUCUCUUUAGCUGCUCCAUAGAAUGUGACUGAAACUGUCUUCGUCUACUCUCAUUUUCAUCUAACUCUGGCGAUUGCAAAGAGAGAAAGAGAUGGGUCUGCUCACUCACAAAGUAGAAAGGAGCGAGAUAGCAUCAGGUGACCAUAUCUACACUUGGAGAACAGUCUUCACCUACUCUCAUCACAGUUAGUCUCAGUCUGCAACCCCUUUUACACCAUUUCAAUUGUUCGUUGGUUUCAGCACACGACGAAUGGUUUGGAUAGCCCUCCUGUUUAAACUAGAACACAUUUUAAAUUUUAUUAAGUAAUUUUGUACAGUAGCAUCUGGGCUUUAGAUUAGAGAGAUGAUUGGGGAAAUACAAACAGACCUCAUUGUAAAUUGUGAAUGAAUUUGACAGAUGCACACAAUUGAAAUCCACAAAAAAGUUGGAGUGUUAUUCCUCUUUGUGGAUGUUGAAAGUGUAUUUCAAAACUAAAAGUUGUUACUACUAUUCUGGUCUUCCUAGCUGCAUCUUGUUUAGUUUCAAACUGUUCCACUCGUCUGGUCGCAUUGCUAAUCAGUGUUGGGCGUUGUGUUAUCAAAUUUCAGCUUGCUUAAAAUGCUACUGUUAGAAUUUUUUUAACUAUCCUUGUUAAUAUGUCUAAUGUGAUUGUAACGUCUAAUGUUAUUGUAAUAAGUUACAGACAAGUGUUAUCUCUUUUCUCUGUGAAUGUGAUUUAAUAUAUCUUUAUAGGUUUAAAUUUGCUAGUUUGAAUUCUCUAUAUUGGCUGAAUUGAUUCUAACUACAAUCUCCUCCAGUUAGUACUUAAUUAUUCCGUAACUCUUGAUUGUUUAACGAUUCUAGUAUAUCUCAUUUUAACGUCCAAAGUUCACGGGUCGGAAAACCAAAGUUUCAACUUCCAACCAAAAUCAAAAUUUGAAAAAGUUUAGGAGUAUCACUGAAACAAAAAAUACAACUCAAGCUCAACUCCAACUUAGAAUAGCUUCAGUGAGAAUGACUAGGAAAUUUAGUGAAUGGCUAGGAGAAACCUAUUUUGAAUUAUCAAGAAAAAGAAAAUGAAAAAACAACACAAACUUGUUUACUAAUUGUCAACUGUUAAUAAUGACUGAAAUCUCUCUAUAAUGACCACUAAAGAAAUUAUAAAUUGUUUCUUUUCAUGCUAGGCAAUUGAGGAAGCUCAACAUCUAAAAAAGUUGAUACAAGACUAAGCGUGGCAACGGGAC
rnacentral:lncRNA from 1 species